GUAUCUAACCAGAAAGCCACGGCUAACUACGUGCCAGCAGCCGCGGUAAUACGUUGGUGGCAAGCGUUGUCCGGAUUUAUUGGGCGUAAAGCGCGCGCAGGCGGUCUUUUAAGUCUGAUGUGAUAGCCCCCGGCUUAACCGGGGAGGGUCAUUGGAAACUGGAAGACUGGAGUGCAGAAGAGGAGGGUGGAAUUCUACGUGUGGCGGUAGAAUGCGUGGAUAUGUGGGGGAUCACCGGUGGAGAAGACGAAUCUCUGGUCUAUAGCUGACGCUGAGGGGCGAAUGCGUGGGGAGGAAACAGGAAUAGAUUCCCGGGUUGUCCACGCCGUAAACGAUGAG
rnacentral:rRNA from 1 species